rnacentral:tRNA from 1 species
AAGACCUUAGUAAAACUAUUACAUAGCCCUGUCAGAGCUAAAUUAUGAACUUGUAUUCAUAGAUCUUA